ACAGGGAUUGCCCUAGUAACGGCGAGUGAAGCGGCAACAGCUCAAAUUUGAAAUCUGGCUCUUUUAGGGUCCGAGUUGUAAUUUGCAGAGGGCGCUUUGGCUUUGGCAGCGGUCCAAGUUCCUUGGAACAGGACGUCACAGAGGGUGAGAAUCCCGUACGUGGUCGCUAGCUAUCGCCGUGUAAAGCCCCUUCGACGAGUCGAGUUGUUUGGGAAUGCAGCUCUAAAUGGGAGGUAAAUUUCUUCUAAAGCUAAAUAUUGGCCAGAGACCGAUAGCGCACAAGUAGAGUGAUCGAAAGAUGAAAAGCACUUUGGAAAGAGAGUCAAACAGCACGUGAAAUUGUUGAAAGGGAAGCGCUUGCAGCCAGACUUGCUUGCAGUUGCUCAUCCGGGCUUUUGCCCGGUGCACUCUUCUGUAGGCAGGCCAGCAUCAGUUUGGGCGGUGGGAUAAAGGUCUCUGUCACGUACCUCUCUUCGGGGAGGCCUUAUAGGGGAGACGACAUACCACCAGCCUAGACUGAGGUCCGCGCAUCUGCUAGGAUGCUGGCGUAAUGGCUGUAAGCGGCCCGUCUUGAAACACGGACCAAGGAGUCUAACAUCUAUGCGAGUGUUUGGGUGUCAAGCCCGAGCGCGUAAUGAAAGUGAACGGAGGUGGGAACCCGCAAGGGUGCACCAUCGACCGAUCCUGAAGUUUUCGGAAGGAUUUGAGUAAGAGCAUGGCUGUUGGGACCCGAAAGAUGGUGAACUAUGCUUGAAUAGGGUGAAGCCAGAGGAAACUCUGGUGGAGGCUCGCAGCGGUUCUGACGUGCAAAUCGAUCGUCAAAUUUGGGCAUAGGGGCGAAAGACUAAUCGAACUAUCUAGUAGCUGGUUCCUGCCGAAGUUUCCCUCAGGAUAGCA
rnacentral:rRNA from 1 species